GACGAACCGUGCGAACGUUGUUCGGAUUCACUGGGCUUAAAGGGCGCGUAGGCGGGCGGUCAAGUCAGGGGUGAAAUCUUUCGGCUCAACCGGAAAAGUGCCUUUGAUACUGGCCGUCUCGAGGGAGGUAGGGGCAUGCGGAACUUCCGGUGGAGCGGUGAAAUGCGUAGAUAUCGGAAGGAACGCCGGUGGCGAAAGCGGCGUGCUGGACCUCUUCUGACGCUGAGGCGCGAAAGCCAGGGGAGCCAA
rnacentral:rRNA from 1 species